UAAAAUUAUUUUCUCAAUAGUGUUUAUAACACCUCAGAGUAUCUCUACCUUUUCUUGGCAGAUAUUCCUACUUCUCAAAAACCCCCAAAAUCCCAAAAGUGACACAGCAAGAGUACAAUAUUAAUUUGAAUUUUUAUUAUUUUUAAUACAUACAUUUCACAAACAGGAACCUUCUAACACCACACGAUUCCAUAACCAAAUGCUUUGAUUUUAUCAACAUUCUUCAGCUAUUUACACUGUCAUCCCUCAACAAAAGUGCAAUCAAAGACAUCUUGACAAAUCUUUACAAACAGCGAUAUAUUCUUCAGCUGGUUUUAACAAUGUCCACUUGUUAUAUCUUCUUUCAAUCACCUGAAAGAAUAAUGAAGUCAACAAGACAUAGAGAUAAACUGAGUUGGGCAGCAUCCUAUUGAGAAGCCAACUCUCUUCCUCAACCUCCAACUAAAAUUAUCAACAGCUGCCACCAGAAACUAAAUAAGAAAGUAAACUGAGUUAGCAACCUGGGCACAGCAGAGCAGAUUGUAUAGUAAGCAUUGGUCUGGAAGGACUAAGUGAAAGAUUUCAGCAAGUUAGUUUUGAUCGGCUUACGUUAUGCAUUAGUCUUUUUUGUGUUUGAACACCUAAUCGUAUUCUUUCUUGAUGAGUUAAUUUUCCCCAAAGAGAUAUCAAAAUCCCUUUUAUUUAGAAAAUAGACUUCUACAAAAAUAACUGUAAAUAUAAAGGGCAUUUGAGGAGCUCCUUGUAUAAUGGGACAAUUCAGUGACCUCUCCAUUUCAUGGCACGAUGUGUAUCUUUUGAAGUAAAAACCCAGUAUAUCAACUGCUGCAGAUAUAACCAGAAAAAAGUACAGCUGAGAUGGCCUGUAGGAAAAAUAAUCAGAAAUGGUCUCUUCUCUAAACUAAAGCACAUACUUUUAUUUGUUCAAGGUAUGGAGCUCUUAAAAAUGAUAAAAAUAUUAGAGCACAUGAAAGAAUACUUUGAAACUAUUAGUCACUCUAAGACUGUGGUAUGUUAUUGAACAUUAUUCAUCAGA